rnacentral:rRNA from 1 species
UGGGGAAUAUUGCACAAUGGGGGAAACCCUGAUGCAGCGACGCCGCGUGAACGAAGAAGGUAUUCGUAUCGUAAAGUUCUGUCCUAUGGGAAGAUAAUGACAGUACCAUAGAAGAAAGCUCCGGCUAAAUACGUGCUAGCAGCCGCGGUAAUACGUAUGGAGCGAGCGUUGUCCGGAAUUAUUGGGCGUAAAGGGUACGCAGGCGGUUUAAUAAGUCGAAUGUUAAAGAUCGGGGCUCAACCCCGUAAAGCAUUGGAAACUGAUAAACUUGAGUAGUGGAGAGGAAAGUGGAAUUCCUAGUGUAGUGGUGAAAUACGUAGAUAUUAGGAGGAAUACCAGUAGCGAAGGCGACUUUCUGGACACAAACUGACGCUGAGGUACGAAAGCGUGGGGAGCAAACAGG